rnacentral:rRNA from 1 species
UACGGGAGGCAGCAGUGGGGAAUAUUGCACAAUGGGCGCAAGCCUGAUGCAGCGACGCCGCGUGAGGGAUGACGGCCUUCGGGUUGUAAACCUCUUUCAGUAGGGAAGAAGCCUUCGGGUGACGGUACCUACAGAAGAAGCGCCGGCUAACUACGUGCCAGCAGCCGCGGUAAU